UAUAACGUAAGAACGUUAAAUACGACGCGAAGGUAAUAAUACUCAAUUAUCCUCGAGAAGCUUAAGGAGGACUGCGCAUGUACUUCCAUCGGUGAUAAAAACGAGUUGCCGAACGGUGCACAAGAAUUCCUGCGCUCAAGGUUACGUAAUGAACGGUGCUUCUCUUCGGGGUCUCCUUCCAGGGACAAUAAAAUUCCGCGCGAGCAAUUAGCCCUGGCAACCGGUGAUUACGUCGAGAAAUACACAGGGUGGGUCGUAACACGUGGCCGAACGGAGACGUCAAAAUAGGAAAGAAAGUUCAGUGGCAUGUAUAAGAGCACGGGUACUGUGACCAGUAUCAAGAUCAUGGACAGCGAAUAUGUUAAUCUUGAAUCGAGCUUGUAUGAAUGAUUCUACCGAACUGUUUGUAUAAGAUGCAUCGUAACUAUUCGAUGCAAUGUUGGAGAUGCUUUGAUGUUUACGAUUCUUUAAUAAAAACUCGACUAUAAUCUCUAAAGAAAACCUAAAUAAUAUAAUAAUGAAAAUUACAGAGGACCUGGGAGAAGAAACGGAUUGAGUCAAAUGGUAGUUGUUUUCAGAUUGUUUUAAUUGGGAUAGGAUCAAAUGGGACACGUAAUUACAAGAACUUUCUCCAUUAGUUUUACGUCGUCCGAUCUAUACCCGGGUCCAACGUGUAACGAUACACUCGGCGGAUCGGAUCGACGUGGAUAAUUUUCGAACUUCCUUGUCCGAGCUAAUUCGAAGCCGAGCGUUGCACGUGGAACUCCUCGGUCGUAACACGAAACUAUAAAUUACCGGAAGAACAAGCCGAGGAACGCCGAACCCACCGCAUCCAGCUGGCAUUCGUGCCGUUUCACUGGACACUCGUCAGCCCUAUCGCUAAUGAAAGGCUGCCCCGAAGGGCUCGCGGGGGCAUAAAGGGCGCGCGUGGGCGGACGCUACACGAAAAGUCAAACGAGAGAUCAAAACGUUGUUGCAACGGAAGAUUUAUCACGCGAUCCAUGGAUUCCUCAACGAUUUCGGCUGACGAAGACAGAGAAUAAUAUAUGGCGUGACCAAGAAGACCUACUAAAAUAUUUGCAAGCCUAGUACUCCUCGCUUUGAAAGUGCGAAAUAGAUUCUAGCAAUCAUGGGUGUACAAAUAUUUUAUUUGGUAAUAAUAUAACCAUUUUGACUGCUUGAUGAUUCUUAAAUGUUUCAGUCAUGUUGGAGGAUAUUAAAAAUUGAAGUAAAGCAUGUGGUUAAUAUUGCAGUUCUGUUUGCUUGUUUUCGGAGAAGAAACAAGAGUGCCCUUGGAUACCGCAAUGAAACUGGCUUGACAGUUAAGAUUCUGCACGGUUUCAUAGUUAAUGUUCGAAGUGGCCUCCACUGGAGGUAGCAUGCAAGUUGAUACGCCUAUCAUGGUCUAUCGCAUGUGCACGACACUUCCGGCUGCCUCCGACGGAAUUGCAUACAUUGAUUGCGUUACCUGUUAUUUAUAAUUCACGUGGGAAGGUCAGAUAAAAAUGUUAUUACGGUUUCUUGGCAUUCGUUUGCAACGGGUCCUUCGAAAUUGCUUAGCGAUAGUAAAAGAUGUGGAGAAUAACAAUUUACCAGGCAGGAUUUUCGAACCACCCUGUACGGAGAUAAAUAUUUCCAUUCCCACAGAAUAAACGUCGCUGGCCCGGUGUAUAUUUUAAUCCAGCGCGGUUUAAUCCGGAUAACGUUUCAACAUGAAUCAAACGAGCGUCGCGAACGAAAUGCGCGAACAAUGCUCCAGACGACGAUGGAAAGAGUGCAUCUUUCCAGCCCUCUCACGCUCAGUCGCUUCUCACAGAGAUGGGAAAAAUUUUUCUUCCAUAGAAAAAAUCUGGAACGAGUGAAAGGUAAACAGCUCUUGCUACGUUCAAUAAAAAUGACUAUCUGAAUUAUAUAAUCGUGUCACGUUUUUGAAACCUUAUCCAAGGAACUGUUUACCUUAGUUUUAUUCGAUAUUUUACGUUUUUAUUGCACCGUAUCUAAACAGUA